CCUACGGGAGGCAGCAGUGGGGAAUUUUCCGCAAUGGGCGAAAGCCUGACGGAGCAACGCCGCGUGAGGGAUGAAGGCCUCUGGGCUGUAAACCUCUUUUAUCAAGGAAGAAGAUCUGACGGUACUUGAUGAAUAAGCCACGGCUAAUUCCGUGCCAGCAGCCGCGGUAAUACGGGAGUGGCAAGCGUUAUCCGGAAUUAUUGGGCGUAAAGCGUCCGCAGGCGGUCUUGUAAGUCUGUCGUUAAAGCGUGGAGCUCAACUCCAUUUCGGCGGUGGAAACUACAAGACUAGAGUGUGGUAGGGGCAGAGGGAAUUCCCGGUGUAGCGGUGAAAUGCGUAGAUAUCGGGAAGAACACCAGUGGCGAAGGCGCUCUGCUGGGCCAUAACUGACGCUCAUGGACGAAAGCUAGGGGAGCGAAAGGGAUUAGAUACCCCUGUAGUCCUAGCCGUAAACGAUGAACACUAGGUGUCGGGGGAAUCGACCCCCUCGGUGUCGUAGCUAACGCGUUAAGUGUUCCGCCUGGGGAGUACGCACGCAAGUGUGAAACUCAAAGGAAUUGACGA
rnacentral:rRNA from 1 species